rnacentral:rRNA from 1 species
CCUACGGGAGGCUGCAGUGGGGGAUAUUGCACAAUGGGGGAAACCCUGAUGCAGCGACGCCGCGUGGGCGAAGAAGUAUUUCGGUAUGUAAAGCCCUAUCAGCAGGGAAGAAGAAAGGACGGUACCUGAGUAAGAAGCACCGGCUAAAUACGGGCCAGCAGCCGCGGUAAUACGUCUGGUGCAAGCGUUCUCCGGAUUUACUGGGUGGAAAGGGAGCGCAGGCGGCACGGCAAGCCUGAUGUGAAAGCCCGCGGCCCAACCGCGGGACGGCCUUGGGAACUCCCGGGCUGGAGUGCCGGAGAGGUCGGCGGACUUCCUAGUGUAGCGGUGACAUGCGUCGAUCUUAG